CUAGUCCCUUCUUCCAAUUUCCACUACCUAAGAUAUCCUGAGUGGUUUUGCCUGAAUUAGUCCAUGUUUUAAUGAUCUCUCUUUCCUUGGCAAGUUCUGAUUGAAGAGAUGCAUACCUCUUUGAUAAUUCAUCUUUGACAAUGACAGCAUCAUCUCUUUCUUUUUGAACUUCCAACAUCUGAACUAAUUCUUUUUCUAGAAAAUCAUUCCUUUUCUUUACACUCAGAGUUUCAGAUUUUAAUCUUUCAUUUUCUAAAGUCUGAUCUCUAAAGCUGAUAUGUAAAGUUUUAAGAA
rnacentral:lncRNA from 1 species